AAGAAAUUAGUUUAAUAAUAAAACAUUAACUUGUCAAGUUAAAGAUACUAACCUAAGUAUUUCUUA
rnacentral:tRNA from 1 species